rnacentral:rRNA from 1 species
GAGUUUGAUCCUGGCUCAGAACGAACGCUGGCGGCGUGCUUAACACAUGCAAGUCGAACGUGAUCCAGAGCUUGCUCUGGUGAAAGUGGCGCACGGGUGAGUAACGCGUGGAUAACCUGCCCUGGUAUCUGGGAUAACAUCUCGAAAGGGGUGCUAAUACCGGAUAAGCCUACGGGAUCUUCGGAUUCUGCAGGAAAAGGAGGCCUCUAUUUAUAAGCUUCCGUAUCAUGAUGGGUCCGCGUACCAUUAGCUAGUUGGUGGGGUAAUGGCCUACCAAGGCGACGAUGGUUAGCUGGUCUGAGAGGAUGAUCAGCCACACUGGAACUGAGACACGGUCCAGACUCCUACGGGAGGCAGCAGUGGGGAAUUUUGCGCAAUGGGGGAAACCCUGACGCAGCAACGCCGCGUGAGUGAUGAAGGCUUUCGGGUCGUAAAGCUCUGUCAGAGGGGAAGAAAUGAAACGUGCUAAUAUCACGUUUUCUUGACGGUACCCUCAAAGGAAGCACCGGCUAACUCCGUGCCAGCAGCCGCGGUAAUAC